rnacentral:rRNA from 1 species
GACGAACCGUGCGAACGUUGUUCGGAUUCACUGGGCUUAAAGGGCGCGUAGGCGGGCGGUCAAGUCAGGGGUGAAAGUCCACGGCCCAACCGUGGAAGUGCCUUUGAUCCUGGCCGCCUCGAGGGAGGUAGGGGCAUGCGGAACUUCCGGUGGAGCGGUGAAAUGCGUAGAUAUCGGAAGGAACGCCGGUGGCGAAAGCGGCGUGCUGGACCUCUUCUGACGCUGAGGCGCGAAAGCCAGGGGAGCGAACGGG